rnacentral:rRNA from 1 species
GUGGCGAACGGGUGAGUAACACGUGGGCAAUCUGCCCUUCACUCUGGGACAAGCCCUGGAAACGGGGUCUAAUACCGGAUACCACUACCGCAGGCAUCUGUGGUGGUUGAAAGCUCCGGCGGUGAAGGAUGAGCCCGCGGCCUAUCAGCUUGUUGGUGAGGUAAUGGCUCACCAAGGCGACGACGGGUAGCCGGCCUGAGAGGGCGACCGGCCACACUGGGACUGAGACACGGCCCAGACUCCUACGGGAGGCAGCAGUGGGGAAUAUUGCACAAUGGGCGAAAGCCUGAUGCAGCGACGCCGCGUGAGGGAUGACGGCCUUCGGGUUGUAAACCUCUUUCAGCAGGGAAGAAGCGAAAGUGACGGUACCUGCAGAAGAAGCGCCGGCUAACUACGUGCCAGCAGCCGCGGUAAUACGUAGGGCGCAAGCGUUGUCCGGAAUUAUUGGGCGUAAAGAGCUCGUAGGCGGCUUGUCACGUCGGGU